GCCAAAAUAGAUCAGUUCGGAGAGCAUUAGAAUGAAGGUCUAAAGGUCCCCGGUUUGAUCCCGGGUUUUAGCA